GGAGGAUUCGCCUAGUGGCCUAGGGCGCACGCUUGGAAAGCGUGUUGGGGGCAACCCCUCACGAGUUCGAAUCUCGUAUCCUCCG
rfam:Streptomyces sp. NRRL F-6602 F6602contig10.1, whole genome shotgun sequence.